UUCGGUUCUUUUUUUUUUUUUUUUUGCUUCUGUGACUGUCUGCGUUUGUUAUAAAGACACACAGACCGAGAGUCAAAUGUCCCUUUUCCAUGAGUAACGGUACAGCACGGAUCGACUCCACUCUCCACGCUUCCAGUGCUUUUCCAACCAGUCCCUUUUUCAGGACCCAUUCCUCUGGGGUUUCAGCCGUGCUGAACUGGUCCUAAAAGUUGACGUCAGAGCACUGAUUGGUCCGGGGGUGCAGUCACUCGUGGUUUGAGAAACUUUCACAUCAACCAGAUCCGCCAUUUUCACUACAAUCACUCGAACUCGCAGGAGCUACUGGACGUAUUUUGAAGAUAUAACAAAACAAUAAUGUCAUCACCGUGGUCCAAUGCAGAAGUGCAGGCGUUUUUGUGCUUGGUGGCCGAAGAAAAUAUUCAGAGCGAGCUGGAUGGAGCGACCCGUAACGAAAAGGUGUUUAAAGAGUUGUCAGAGCGGUUGGCUCCUCAGGGCUACCAGCGAACAUCCAAGCAAUGUCGGGACAAGCUAAAAAAACUAAAGUGCGAUUACCGCACAGUUAAAGAGUUCAACAGCAGGAGCAAAUCAAACCAACGAAACUGGAAAUGGUACGAUCAGAUGGAUGCCAUUUACGGUAAUGGCCAAGCUAACGAUGGGGGAGAGAGUUGCUUGAACACAGCUACCGCUCAAGAGGAACCAAUGAGGGAAGAUGCAUGUGAAGGUUCGUCAGCAAAUGCCAUUUUGGACGGUCCAAGCCUCCCGGCUUCUGCCCCUGCACCAUCAGCACCAUCUACGCCUAGCACCACGCAGAGCAGCCCAACACAGCAGCCUGCUGUACCUGCCAAGAGGAAGAGUAAAUUGGCAAAUACACACCAGUCUUUGAUUUCUGAGCUGAAAAAAGAAGACGAACUGAACCGGGCACAGAGGGAAAAUCACUUUCGUCUUCUUUUAGAAGACGCGCGUGAGGCUAGGCAACAGGAAGCAGCGGCAGCGGCCGCGGCAAGAGAUCAGGAAGCAGCCCUACGAAGGGAGGAGGCUGCUCAGACUGCUGCCUUCAAUCAAGCCUUCCUUGGGGUGCUGGGAGACAUUGCACGUUCCAUGACCAACAGAUAUGCAACAUCGUUUUAAAUAGAUAGAUUUUGAUAGGUUGAUGGAUGGAUGGAGAUACAUAUACAACCAGUUACUGAAGUCAUCAGACCAA